rfam:Colinus virginianus strain Texas jcf7180006226694, whole genome shotgun sequence.
CCAAAGGCUCUUUUAAGAGCCACCCACUUAACUCCCAGAAAGAGCU